AUAUGUCCCAUUUUAUAAUGUAAAACAUUGAUGGGAAUAAUAGCAAUAAGAAUCCAGCCAGUAUCCUCCAACAUGAUAGAAAAUAAAGUUUGCUCUUUUUCUAAAAACAUUAAUAAAUGUUUUUAAAUGUCACCUCUCUCUUAUUUAAAUGAAAUGCAUUCCUUGUGUUUACAACUUGAGAAGAAAAUCUUCUUAAUAGAAAAUUGAUGCAAAUAUGGUUUUCAUUUUUUUUUUUUUUCAAUAAAGUAGUGACUUGGGUUCUUGGCUGCUUUAGUACUGUUUGAACAACCUUUCCAUGUUUAGGCAAUUUCUCACCUUGUGAAUCCCACCUCUCCAAAGCAGAAGCAGAAAACUUCUUUUCCAGCUAGGGUGUGGCAUGUAACCUUGGCCCAGUAUCAAGCUAGGCCCACCAAUCAGUCUGGGGCUAGUGGAGCACCUGUGAUAAAUGAAAUUUACUUAGUUACUACCUUACUGAUCUGAAAGCAAUUCACAGUAACCCCAGCAGGACCCAGCCUAUCACAUACUCAUACAACAAAUAUUUAUUGCACAGCUAUUAUCUGCCAAGGCAUUGUUCACAUCUGUGAACCAGAGAUACUUGCCCUCAGAGGACAACACUCUAGUCGGGGAGACAGGGAAGAAACACAGCAACAUGUUUUUCAUAUUGAAGAGACUGCUCUGAGAAAGGCAAAAAAUUCAUGAGGUAGGAAAAGGAUAAAUGCUGGAGCAGUGUCCUUGAAAAGGGGGUUGGAAUACAUUCCACACAUGGGGGAAUUAGCGUUCGAUAAGAGCAUGAAUAAUUUCUCCAUGGUUACGAGUGGGAAGGCGGCACACAGGCAUUUCUGCAAUAACGUGAUAAAUGUGCUCCUGAAAAUUUCUUAUUCUCAAAUUCAUGCACUAAAAAUAACAGAAUUCACGGAAGAAAUAUGGGGCAGACCAUUUCAAACCUGUCCAACUUUGGAAAUUGCAUACCAACAAAAACACCAAUUAACAUAGUUUAAAAGAACAUGUUACAUUCCUAAUAAAGUUGACCCUUGAACAACACAGGGGCUAGGGGGCCCUGAACCACACACAGUCAAAAAUCCACAUAUAAUUUCUUCUAAGUCCUCCACAACUUAACUACUAAUAGUCUACUGUUGAACUGAAGCCUUACCGAUAACAUAAAUAACUGAUUACCAUAUAUUUUUUUGUGUGUAUUAUACACUGGAUUCGUAUAUGAAUGUAAGCUAGAGAGAAGAAACGUUAUUCAGAAAGUCAUAAGAGAAAACGCAUUUGCAGCACUGUAGGUGUGUUUAUUGAAAACAAAGUAUAGGCUGGUUGGGUGAGCAGGUCAAGUGCAGUGGCAGCAGAGGGUCGAAGCCUGGUGGCCUUGGCUCAGCAGCAGCAGCCAGAGGGCAGGCCUGUGGGUAGCGACAUUGGCCAAGUACAGUACAGCUGCCCUGUCUCCCUGCAGGUGUCCUCCACCCUGUGACCGUCCCGCAGGAAGGGGUCUGCACCUGGCCCAGCAGAGGCCCCAGUCCUGGAGCCAGGAGCCAGGAAGACCAAGGCGAGACGUUCCAGGCUAAGCUCCUGCAGCAUUCUCCCCGCCUUCCGGAAAUGGUCUUCUGCUUCAGCCCAGCCUCCUGCCCACCAGCCGGGGCCCUUUGCCCAGCCACCCUGUCAGCACACGGGGGACCGGCAGCCUUGCCUGGUCCUGGGCCCCUGGGGUCUGCUGAUGGCCUCGAUGGCCUCACCAAAUACUCAGAGGGCAGCGGCCAUGACCUCUGUACCCUUCGCCUUUGAUUUGCUCCCAAGGAGACGGAGGUGGGCAGUUGUAAAUAAAAGCCUUGUGGCUUUUGCUGUCACGUAAAAGUGGACCCCUGCUGUUCGAACCCCUGUUGUUCAAGGGUCAACUGUACAUCAGUAAAUAAAGGAUUUCGCCUUUCCAAGAAGAAGGCAAAGGCAGCUUGAUAGAAUUUGGCAGAAGGAAGGGUAGAAGCAGAUAUGUACACAGUAAGCACUUCCAAGACGGAACCUGUAGCCCAACGGCCCCAAUAAGAAGAUGCAGUGAAAAGGGCUCACGUAAAGUACCUGAUUCUUCGGCAGUUUGCUCAUUCAGCUCAUUCCACUGGUGUCUCCACAUUCAGCUGCUCUUAUCUGAUGGCACAAAAUAUUAAUGGGGGAAACAUCACUUAGGAACCGACCCAAUUUCCCCAUUAUAGUGACAUCAUCCCCCACCUAGCAAUAAUAUUUGAGUUAAUGCCUAUUACAGAAGCACGCAUUGUAGAACAGACUGUAAGCGGGAGCAGAUGCUGGGAGGGGGGCGGAUGUGGUGGUGGUAGGGCUGUGGAAGUUCUCUUCUGCCUGCUUCAGUUUUCUCAGUGAGAAAUUAUGUGGUAAUUUCCCCAGAUCCUGCCUCUGUGCCUGGAACGGUGCCCUCAGCAAAUGCAGAAACCCCACAAUGGCUUCCACAGCAUGGGGGUAAGCAUGGCGUCUGUUAAUGGAGGGCCAAGAGGCCAUCCUCCCGGGGCUCCCCCUUCCUGCUAAAAUGGCCAAACAAAACCAAUAGUUCCUCCUUUGUAGGAACUGCAACGAUUCGUGCCAUUAAGGAGAAAGAAGCACGGAGGCCUCGCGGAAUUCCUUGGCAACAGAAGGCAAUCGAUGUCACCCUCGGGUUUGCUGCUCUGACUCAUUUACUUUUAAUGGAGCCUCGCGCAAGGGAGGGAGCUCUCCAGCUGGCCCAGGCCCCCUGCGAGCAGCUCUGCAUACUUGUCCUUAUGACCCCGUGCUCAGAAAGCCUGUGACCCACCUGGCCGCUGUGCAGAGCCUGCAGCAAGUCCUAAUAGGGGAAGCAUAGCUGUCGCCUCUUAGCUUUUGGAGCAAAGCCAAGCUCUCCCAUGCAAGUAAUUAUUCUCCUUUCAGAAAGAACUCUUGGCUGGCCCCUGAGGGCUUGACCACGGGGCACUAGGUGACCCUGGGACCUAAACUGCCCAUGUUGAACUCAGAGGAAUUUUUUUUUUAAUGUGUAUUUUGAUUUGGGGGAGAGAGAGUGAGAGACCAUGGGUGGGGGAGGGGCAGAGAGAGAGGGAGGCAGAGGACCCGAAGCGGGCUCUGGGCCAACAGCAGAGAGCCCAACGUGGGGCCUCGAACUCACGAACCGUGAGGUCAUGACCUGAGCCAAAGCUGGACGCUUACCCGACGGAGCCACCCAGGCGCCUCUGAGAGUGAUUUGACCCGCCAAAACAGAGUUCGGUGAGCCCAGCCCACCAGCACGUUUGCAUCAGAUGGAAGGGGUGUAUACGACCACCAUGGCUGAUGGGCCUUAUGAGCCACAGGAACAGUCGGCGCCUUAUCCUGCCAUGUGCCUCCUGACUUCUGCGCCGCUCCCCUCCCUCACUGCCGUGUUCCCGUGGGGGAAUCCACACCGAGCCGUUCGCCAAAGAGGAAAAAAGUCACAUCUGGUUUGCAGACGGUCCUGCAAAUUUUGCUGGAACCUACUGGAAUUUAACUGCGGGGGCUCUUCAGCCCCACUGGGGCUGAGAGACAAUGGGGAAAGGAAAUGUUCUCAGGGAGCCGAACUUGGAGCAGUCCACCUGGUACACUUUUCCUGAACAGGAGAGACAGCCUGAGAGGCAGAUGCUAACCAUGUCGUGGUAGUGGCUCCCAGGUUGAAAGGACGGUCAGCGUCACGAAAGAAGGUCUGGGAAAAAGGAACGGGAUGGACGUCUCCGAGCUGGGCCCAGUCUAUGGGAGAAUAUUUGUGUCACACUGGAAUGGCCACAAAAGCUACCACCGUGGAGGAGGUUCUGAGUGCGCAGGUGGGAGAUCGCCUGUCCUGUGCCUUCCCUUUUUCCCUGGCCACCCUUGCUCAGUGGCUUCAUGGACAAAGUAGCUGUGGUUUCAGGCAUAGAGAGAGUUCAGUGGCCCACCAAGGACUUCUCCUCACCAAGCGUCUGCUGCCCACUGCUGAUUCACUUUCAGGAGCAGUGACCAGCCCUGAGAUUUGCUGUAAUACCACACUCAGCAGGAAGAUUACAGUGGAGACCCAUUCCGUCGUGGAGAGGGCAAUAACUUGUCCCCACUGGAAUAACGAUGCAUUCGGGGUUUGGAUUCUCCAGGCCGGCAGCACGUCGCAUGGACUUAGCCAAGCUAUCUUCUUCAGCAUCGUUUAUUUCCGGGCAGCAAUGCUUCUCACCAGAGUUCAGUUACAGAGAUGGGAGGGAGAUGAUAAGCCUAUGCUCAGAGGAUUUCUCACCGUGUCCCCCACCACCUAAAACAGAAGGUCUCAUGGCAUGGUGGUACAGCCUACCGAACGCUCCAUUACUGUGGUGGCAGAGAUUAUUCCUUGAGAGGGGGCAAUGCCUCCCUGCAGGAUGCUGUGUGUGCUCUGAUCCAGUGACCAAUAGAUGGUGCUCUUUCUCCCAAAAUCAGAAGACAGAGACCAAUGGGUGAAAGUGGGAGGGGUGUCGGUUACCAUAUCACCUCUUAUUAAGCAAGCCCCAAAAUGGAGCCCACUUUCUGGAAGGGUGGUAGAAUAAGCAUCUGGUCCCAAGGGUCAGCAGGGACAGAGGGCAGCAUUCAGGGCCCAACAUCGAUGGUGCAAGCCGUGGUGUGGGUGCUCAGCGGAGGUGUCAGCGGUAACAAUCCCAUCAUACAGUUUGGAUGGUGUUCCCAGUUGUAGAGCCAGCCGGACAGGUUUUCUGGCCCUCUUAAACACCUUAAUAUAUUUUAAAAUAAACUCCUUUUCUUCUAAGUCA